rnacentral:rRNA from 1 species
GAUGAACGCUGGCGGCGUGCCUAAUACAUGCAAGUCGAGCGAACGGACGAGAAGCUUGCUUCUCUGAUGUUAGCGGCGGACGGGUGAGUAACACGUGGAUAACCUACCUAUAAGACUGGGAUAACUUCGGGAAACCGGAGCUAAUACCGGAUGAUAUUUUGAACCGCAUGGUUCAAAAGUGAAAGACGGUCUUGCUGUCACUUAUAGAUGGAUCCGCGCUGCAUUAGCUAGUUGGUAAGGUAACGGCUUACCAAGGCAACGAUGCAUAGCCGACCUGAGAGGGGGAUCGGCCACACUGGAACUGAGACACGGUCCAGACUCCUACGGGAGGCAGGAGUAGGGAAUCUUCCGCAAUGGGCGAAAGCCUGACGGAGCAACGCCGCGUGAGUGAUGAAGGUCUUCGGAUCGUAAAACUCUGUUAUUAGGGAAGAACAUAUGUGUAAGUAACUGUGCACAUCUUGACGGUACCUAAUCAGAAAGCCACGGCUAACUACGUG